GACGAACGCUGGCGGCGUGCCUCAUACAUGCAAGUCGAACGAGUGGCGGACGGGUGAGUAACCCGUGGGAACCUACCCAUCAGAGGGGGAUAAAUACUGGAAACGUUAGUUAUUACCGCAUAACAUCAGAUGUGCCCAGAUGGGAUUAGCUAGUCGGAGGGGUAACGGCUCACAAAGUCGACGAUCCCUAGCUGGUUCGAGAGGAUGACCAGUCACAAUGGAACUGAGACACGGUCCAGACUCCUACGGGAGGCAUCCGUGGGGAAUAUUGCACAAUGGUGGCAAGCCUGAUGCAGCCAUGCCGCGUGUAUGAAGAAGGCCUUCGGGUUGUAAAGUACUUUCAGCGGGGAGGCGUUACCCGCAGAAGAGGCACCGGCUAACUCCGUGCCAGCAGCCGCGGUAAUUC
rnacentral:rRNA from 1 species